AUACCUUUCUCGGCCUUUUGGCUAAGAUCAAGUGUAGUAUCUGUUCUUAUCAGUUUAAUAUCUGAUAUGUGGGCCAUGUGCCCACAACGAUAUUAAAUUUAUUUUUUAUGGGGGAGGGCUCACCACAGUGGCUUACCACUGGGGCCCUCAGGUGUCGCCCAGUGCGUUGCACUAUUGCCUGGGCAGGCGCACCCCAA
rnacentral:snRNA from 1 species